GCCAUGGUUCAAGCAGAAAAACAUAGUUCUUUUUCACAAACCCAGUUGCAUUACAACCAUCUUCUUCAGUACAGCAAACCAUGCUGCCAGGUCCUUUCAACAAUACUUCAUUUGUUAUUUAUCACCUGAACUGUUUUUCGGCCAUAGUGGUAAUAGCUAUAUGCAGAUGUUACCGUUGUGAAAGCUGUGAUGCACCAUAACGUCUGCAGAUACACGCUGUCAACAU
rnacentral:lncRNA from 1 species